GAUACGUCGACGACCCUAUCGAUCGUCUACGGAAGCAGACUAGCUGGCAUCAGUGACUAGUCGAUAGCUAGUGUAGUAUGUCACAGCGACGAUCGUACUGUCGAAGAUGAUCAGUCACUGACUGAGUCCGUCAGCUCUACGAGCAGCAGUCAGAUAUGACAUGCGAGCUGAUCAGCAUGCGCGUGUUGAGAGUCUCGAUGUAGCACUAGUAGAGACGACAGUAGUAUACUGCUGCUGACGUACGACAGAUAGCACGCUACUCUGUGCAGCAGCGCGUAUACAGAGUGCAGCGUAUCGAUACUGCGUAGCGCGCGUAGUGUUGUAGUAGAUGUGAAUCCGGCUCACUAGACUGCAUCAACUGACUGACUAGAGUAUGUAGAGGUGUGAUUCUGUGUAGCGUGAAUGCGUAGAUAUAGAAGACACAGUGCGAAGGCGACACUGACUAUACUGACACUGAGGUGCGAAGCGUGGGAGCAACAGAUAGAUAUCCUGGUAGUGCACGCCGUAAACGAUGUCACUAGACGUUAGAAGCCUUGAGCUAUUAGUCGCGCAGCUAACGCAUUAAGUUGACCGCCUGGCGAGUACGGCCGCAAGGUUAAAACUCAAAUGAAUUGACGGGGGCCCGCACAAGCGGUGGAGCAUGUGGGUAAUUCGAAGCAACGCGAAGAACCUUACCAGGCCUUGACAUCCAAUGAACUUUCUAGAGAUAGAUUGGUGCCUUCGGGAACAUUGAGACAGGUGCUGCAUGGCUGUCGUCAGCUCGUGUCGUGAGAUGUUGGGUUAAGUCCCGUAACGAGCGCAACCCUUGUCCUUAGUUACCAGCACGUAAUGGUGGGCACUCUAAGGAGACUGCCGGUGACAAACCGGAGGAAGGUGGGGAUGACGUCAAGUCAUCAUGGCCCUUACGGCCUGGGCUACACACGUGCUACAAUGGUCGGUACAGAGGGUUGCCAAGCCGCGAGGUGGAGCUAAUCCCACAAAACCGAUCGUAGUCCGGAUCGCAGUCUGCAACUCGUCUGCGUGAAGUCGGAAUCGCUAGUAAUCGCGAAUCAGAAUGCUGCAGAACCGCCA
rnacentral:rRNA from 1 species